GAUGAACGCUGGCGGCGUGCCUAACACAUGCAAGUCGAGCGGACAGACGAGGAGCUUGCUCCUCUGACGUUAGCGGCGGACGGGUGAGUAACACGUGGAUAACCUACCUCUAACACUGGGAUAAGUGCGGGAAACAGGAGCUAAUACCGGAUAAGACGUGGAACGGCAUGGUUCACCAGUGCAAGGCGGUUUUGGUGUGAGUUAGAGCUGGAUCCGCCUCGCAUUAGCUGGUUGGUAAGGUAACGGCUUACCAAGGAAACGAUGCGUAGCCGACCUGAGCGGGUGAUCGGCCACACUGGAACUGAGACACGGUCCAGACUCCUACGGGAGGCAGCAGUAGGGAAUAUUCCGCAAUGGGCGAAAGCCUGACGCAGCAACGCCGCGUGAGUGAAGAAGGUCUUCGGAUCGUAAAGCGCUGUUAUUAGGGAAGAACAAAAGUGUGAUUAACUAUGGCCGUCUUGACGGUACCUAAACAGAAAGCAACGGCUAACUACGUG
rnacentral:rRNA from 1 species